GAAGUAGCAGGCGUACUGUCUAGGGGACGGCUGCUCCUCUUUUGCACCCUGCUCUAGGAGGAGGAGGUGGAUGUGGAGUAGGAGGAUGAUACGACUCAUUCAUAUGUCUGCCCUAUCAACUUUCGAUGUUACUAUCUGCGCCUACCAUGGUGACCACGAGUAAUGGAGAAUCAGAGUUCGAUUCCGGAGAGGGAGCCUGAGAAAUGGCUACCACAUCCAAGGAAGGCAGCAGGCGCGCAAAUUAUCCACUCCCGACGCGGGGAGAUAGUGAC